AUGGGGAGCAACUUGAGCAUGCCAAUCUGCUGUGAGACUUGUGGGAGUUAUAAGAAGCAGGAGGAAGCAAAUGAAGAGACUAGUGAGACCAAGCCAAUUCUGCACACCUCAGGGGAUACAUCAGCACAUACUGAUAUGCAGCCUUCCCAACCAGCCCUGGAAGCCUCUGAACGGAUCUCUGAAGAAGUUCAGUCACUCUGCUGGGACCAACAGCUGUCAGCUGAUAUUGCAGAGGAGAGCAUGGAGACCUGCUAUCCUGUGGAUCCUAUGGGAAUGACUGAGGAAUGGAAGGCAGCAUUGAGCUCCGUGGAUUUCUUGAUGACGUCCUCAGACAAGGAGACCAAAGAAGAGGCUGAAGUCCCGGAUCAGCAAGAAAGAGAGAACGCAUGUAAUACAGAUGGGGAAAUAAAACCUAUUCCUCACGAUGAGGCCCAGCUGGCUGUGCACACAGCUCAGGAUCUGAAGCUUGUUGCAGAUAUAGAACAGCCUGCUGAACAGGCUGGGGCUGGCAGUGAGGAUGGCCCAUGUGCUGGAAUAACUCCCCAGGAAAUAAAUAUUCUCGAGCUCAUGGAAAGCACAUGGGGAACUGAAGCUGGUCAAGACUUUGAGACCAAGCCUCAUAUGGAGACUGAUGAGAGUUUAACAGGAUGGGACUUGGCAAUCUAUGCUGUGCAAAAGAUGGCAGAAGAGGCUGAAAUGAACCUUCCUGCUGGGCAGGCAGAGCAGGCAGAUGGGGCUGGCCUUGCUGAAGGAAGUACUCAAGUCGCUGAGAGUGUUUGGAUUACAUCUCUUGCAAAGGCUGUUUCUCUAAUGAACGUGCAGGCUACAGAGGAGACUGAGAAUAUAGUGGAUCCAUCAGAAGCUGUAGUGAAUGCUGUGGUUGAGAUGCACUCUACUUCUGUGGUGCCUCAGGAAGCCCUGUAUCCAGGAGGGCAGUCUCCAAAGCCAUCCAACCAGCUGCUUGACUUCUUACAGCAAGAGAUUCAGUCCGGUGUUCCAGCUGCACAAGAGAUGCAGAGCCAAAGCUGCGCAGAAUCUGCUGAACUGAGCGAGGUUUUCAGUGAUGAAGAUGAAGUCUUCAGUGACACAAUGGAAAGUGAAGAGAACAGGGAAUACAAGCUAGAAACUCCAGCAGAUGAGGCAGAGCCACAGGAAAGGGCUGUGCAACAAAUGCUGCAGCCUCCAGAAGAACUGGUUUGUGCUCAGGUUCCUGCAGAGGAAGAAGCUGAGUUUCUCAGUGCUGUACCCUUGCUGUAUGAAGUGCCUGGGAGUGGAGGAGAUGUACAGGCUGAAAAUGCUGAAGCUUGA
rnacentral:lncRNA from 1 species